AUAAAUAAUAAUAUAUAUCAGUCUACAGUAACGUUUUGUUUAAUGUUUUAAGCUGUAUAGAUAGAACUGUGGGGAUAGGCCUAUGCGUUUCAUAAGUCCUCAUCGAUCCAUCGUAGGCCACUUCAGUAUCAAACAAUCUGAGCCAAUACACGAGUUACAAACUGAAAAAUGCCGUACUGAACUAUUAAUAACACUCGAAAUUCGAUCAAUGAAUACUACUCCAGAACAUGAACAAAAGAGAAAACACUUUACACAGUGCCAACACGACAAUCUAAAUACAGACUACACCAUGUUAACAUGUACAAUAAUGUUGCAAAUAAGGGUUGUACUUUCAAUUUUACAGCUAUUUAAUGAAAUAAAAAGUAAAUAACAUCGAUGCUAUUCAAGAAUUCGUCACACGUCAUUUUUAAAGUUGACGGUGUUCUUACUUUGCUGUAUUGCCUGUAAAGUAACCUUAUAUACCUCCCGCUUUAUUCGCACUAAACUCUUAGAUUACACUAUAAUUUUUCAUUGCUUGUAAAUGGUUAAGGAACGGAGAAGGGUCCUGUUUCAAGGUCUCCUGCUUCUGUUCAUUUUUUGUUGUUUUUUUUAUUUGUAUACUCUCUAAUGUUGUCAAAAGGAGAAGUCAAACUAUCAUGACUAAUUGGAUGGAAGAUAAAUCUGUUUCUUCUAUAGCCUCAUAUACCGUUGUAAUCACGUAUUAAAUAACAUAUGACUACUUUUAAAGAGCGAUUACGAGUGCUUCCGACAUUCUGUGAGGUAUGUUUAACCCUCUAUGAAUCCACUUUAUGUCUAGUUGUUCUGUAUUGUUUCGUGUUGACACGGAAAAGUUCACGAUGUCAUUCGUUCUUACUGAUUUAUUCGGGCUGAAGAAAAAACAGGUAAACCUGAAAGAUUAUCCGAAAAUUUAGGAACUUUACAAGUUUUUUUUUUUAUCAAUUUUUGUAACAUUUAUCAGUUGACUAUUUC
rnacentral:lncRNA from 1 species